rnacentral:rRNA from 1 species
CAAUAGCGUAUAUUAAAGUUGUUGCGGUUAAAAGCUCGUAGUUGGAUUUCUGCCGAGGACGUCCGGUCCGCCCUUUGGGUGUGUACAUGGUACGGCCUGGGCAUCUUCUUGGAAAACGUAUCUGCACUUGACUGUGUGGUGCGGUAUCCAGGACUUUUACUUUGAGGAAAUUAGAGUGUUUCAAGCAGGCCUACGCCUUGAAUACAUUAGCAUGGAAUAAUAAGAUAGGACUUCGGUUCUAUUUUGUUGGUUUCUAGAGCUGAGGUAAUGAUUAAUAGGGAUAGUUGGGGGCAUUCGUAUUUAACUGUCAGAGGUGAAAUUCUUGGAUUUGUCAAAGACGGACUACUGCGAAAGCAUUUGCCAAGGAUGUUUUCAUUGA